UACGUAGGUGGCAAGCGUUUGUCCGGAUUUACUGGGCGUAAAGAGCGCGCAGGCGGUCGUUCAAGUCGCGUGUGAAAGCCCCCCGGCUCAACUGGGGAGGGUCACGCGAUACUGAUCGACUCGAAGGCAGGAGAGGGUAGUGGAAUUCCCGGUGUAGUGGUGAAAUGCGUAGAUAUCGGGAGGAACACCAGUGGCGAAGGCGGCUUCCUGGCCUGUUCUUGACGCUGAGGCGCGAAAGCUAGGGGAGCAAACGGGG
rnacentral:rRNA from 1 species